UACGUAGGGGGCUAGCGUUGUCCGGAUUUAUUGGGCGUAAAGAGCGUGUAGGCGGCCAGGUAGGUCUGCUGUGAAAACUCGAGGCUCAACCUCGAGACGUCGGCGGAAACCAUCUGGCUAGAGUCCGGAAGAGGAGAGUGGAAUUCCUGGUGUAGCGGUGAAAUGCGCAGAUAUCAGGAAGAACACCCGUGGCGAAGGCGGCUCUCUGGGACGGUACCGACGCUGAGACGCGAAAGCGUGGGGAGCGAACAGG
rnacentral:rRNA from 1 species